rnacentral:rRNA from 16 species
GGAUGCGAUCAUACCAGCACUAAAGCAUCGGAUCCCAUCAGAACUCCGAAGUUAAGCGUGCUUGGGCGAGAGUAGUACUAGGAUGGGUGACCUCCUGGGAAGUCCUCGUGUUGCAUUCA